AUGUUUAAAGACGUUAUAAAAGUGAAAUUAUUUAAAGAGAUUUUGCGUAGCAUUAUUGUCCAAUUAUCAAUUAUUCUCACAGUCGCGUGCCCGUCAUACGUCACGACAAGCGCAGCCAUCAACCAAGCGUGUGCUGGCAUGUGCCAGCUUGUCGUGUUUCGGUAGAGUUCCGGCGCGAAAAACCGUGCUCUGGUGCUCCCUGAAGGACUGCGGAAGAUGGUAAGAUAGCGACAGCUUUUCCGUUCUCACAACGAGCCACUCUUAGGUUGCAGUGCUGAUGCUGUGACACUUCAUUUCUUAUUCUCGCCAUGUCUGCAGUGGUGUCCGAUCGUCAGUAGGCUUAUGUUUUUCAAGGAUGCUCAAGCCAGCCAGCAAGAGAGUGGUCUUCCAAGUACAAUUCGCCCUCCAGCCCCGUGUAGCAUCGUACUAUGUGCCUUUAGGAGUGCUGACAAAUUUUCUUCCUCUUUUGAAACUGGUAGUGGUCUUACUUCUAAUCACGGUAACAACUACAAGGCUACACCUAUCUUCAGAGUACAAAAAUAAUGUUCCCUUUGAAGUGGCAACCUUAAGAUGAGCACUCACUGCAACAUGUUUCCUUGGUAGUACUGCUGCGGGGGCCAAUGCAAUUAACCACUGUUGCUAUGUUGAGGCGUGGUGUAUGAACACCAACCAGAUAACACUACGGAGAUGCAGAUGUAGCAGCUCAUCUCCAGCAUCGGCUGAAUCAGUGCUUUGGCCUAUCGUGGCACCUGAUUGCAUUAUAAGUAGUGCUGUACGUUUUCAAAAAUGUGACAAAUGUAGAAUCCUGUUGCCUGGUGUCAGGCUGAGUGUACGGAAAGCAUUGAGACAGUUUAAAAGGAAAGGGCUGAUUUGAUACUGAUUCAAGUGGCUCAGCACUCUUGGCAGCAUGGUAUGGCCUGGUGCCACUGCACUUGGUUGACUAGUGCAUGCCAAGUGUGCUGUGGUACCAGGUAACCACUAACUGCAAUUACAUUGACAUUCCUUAUGAUCCAUGAAUCUACACACGAAUUGGCUGUAGUCUCACUUGCAUGGAAAUAUGAUGUAGUUAUUCUUCUCGAAUAAUUUAUAGAGCAUACCAUGGUUGUAUUUGGACUGCAUGCUUACUUAUUCGAGAAAAAUGAGGCAAAAACUAAGAUACUUCCUUGUUAUAACAGUCUUCAUUUCUAAGAAAGAACAGUAUGUUAAAACUAUUUUUUUUAUGCAGCAGCUGUGUUCCAAAUAAUUUCUCCUUUCUGGAGAAGCUAAUUUGGCCCCGUUUUGCUGCAGGGGGUUGCCUGCUUCUCUUACAUAAUUUAUCAUUUUGCUAACAUAUUGAUGGUUUUCAGAUUGUUUUUCCUAUAGGAUAUAUUGCUGUUUUGGGUCUUCAGCUGUUGCUCUCAUUUAUGUUUCACUACAUUGUUUCUAUUUCUUUUGUCUUUUGCUGAAUACAAGGCUAGCCAAAUAGUGAUUUUAUGUUUCCAUAUGUGAAUUCUGGUUUUGUUUUUGUUCAUGAGAAUAAAGUCUCAUAGUGUGCCCUCUGUGUUAUUUUACUGGAGAGAAUGCAGCUAACACUGUGCUGUUGCUCACCUAAGAAAUCAUUUUUUUAUGAGAGAAGCGUUCCUUUUCAAGCAUUGUUUUACUGUCUUAUUCUAUUUAUCCUUGAGUAUGUUUAUGCUUAGUUGUUAUGCAUAAGUGAUAUCAUUGUAUUGGUUCGUGUGUUAAGUGCUCAUUGAGCCUUUCAGAAACCAAGAGAUGGCAUUAUGCUGCAUUUUUAGUGUUCACAUUAUUUUCAUGAGACAGCUGCAGUCUGCCAUUAUAUUUCACUGCAAAUAUUGUGUACAUCAUUACGUACUUGUCAAACGGUUGAUACCAAUAAGAAAAGACUGGUGGUGACAACUUGAGUUUCUCCUCUCUUAGUAAUAGUGGCACUUGAUUUGUUGUCCCAAACAGUCCAGGACUGUCCGAGAAGCUGCGUAUGCCAAUAAUCGCUGGCUGCAGUAGCGUCUCAAGCAGUCUGGGACAACAAAUUGAAGAGGCCCAGUGCGUGCAUGCAUGCAUGAGGAAUAAAAGAAACGGCCAAAAAUAGUACAAUGGAUGUCCUAUGGACGUAAGUGUGGUUAAUAUGGAUAUCCAUUAGAUGUAGUAAAUAUCUAUUGGAUGUUUUGGAUACCUAUUAGAUGUAAUAAGUACAUCUAAUUGGAUGUCUUGGACGUCUAUUAGAUGUUACAUAUAUCCAGCGCUGACAUCCCCACAACAUACUACUUACAUGUUCCGGAUGCAUUUGUGAUGAUCCAGAGUACAUCUAUGCAACAUUUUCUGGAUAAAUCUGGAUAUCUAAUGGACGUACUGAAUCUCCAAGGUGUACCAUAUUAUGCACAUCUAAUGGAUGUAUCUGGCUAUCUGGGAUGCACCAAAGUGACUAGAGUGAUAUAUUCAAUUACUUCUUGUAGUGUGUCAUAUGUUGAAAAUCAAAAAUAUUUAGCCCAGUGGGUCGUACUAGAAAAGGCUCAGUGCAUAUUUUAUGCUUUUGCUUUAUUCAUCUUAUUUGUCGCAGCACACUUCAAAGCUGUGCUGUUUGCUUCGUUCUGGUCUUUUUCAUGUUCGUCAGCACGACGUUAUACAGGGUGUCCCAGUUAAAUUUAGCCAGAGUUUAAAAGUAUGCGAAUGCCAUGUAGCUGGACAGAACCCAAAUUAUUAUUUCUUCAUUUUGCCUAAUUAAAUAAGUCUUAGUUAAACUUCUAAAAUAUUAUAAUUAGAAGAAAAGUGUCAAUGAUAAAAUUGUAAAGCGACAUGAAAAACUGCCGGCACAGCUUUCUGUGCUAGCAGUGUUUUUCAGAGCGUGAAAGAAGCCUGCGAAUGCACGCAAAGUGCCUCGAGCGGGCAGUCCCGCGGCAAUUUUGCAUAAUUUUGCGUAGCGACAGUGUUAUCGCCCUUGGACUUCAUACGGAACUUUACGGUGAUGGCGACGGCUGAAAUGAGCUUGGAGUGCCCAUAUAAUUGCUCUCACAAUAUAAACUUUACGUAAUGAAAUCACACCGAGCGCUUCACGAAGGCUAGCAAAUCAUCAGGUUCCGCAUUGCACGUAGCCUCCGAAGAGUUAUGCAACCCAAAGGAAAUCGGCCGCGAGCUUAUCUCCAGCUCCCAAUUCCGGUGAAGCACGGUGUGUUUUGGACGGUCCAAGGGCCGGACAAGAAAGUUCUGCGAUGGCACUGCUCCGGAAACAAGGCACCAUCUUUUCCAGCCUGGCACGAAUAAACGUCGUGAAUUCUAAUACGUACAGUCCCGGGAAGUUCCACGCCAAACUAACCGAACAUUUUAGCUGCAACGCCGUACACAAAAUCUUCUUUGCAGAAGUGCUUGCUACGCACGUGAUGAUGAAUGGUGGGCUGCUUCCCCAUUCUCAGCUUUAUCAACCAUGCACCCUGCUGCUGCUUGGUUUUGGCGUACGCAUGAAAACUCGCACUGGGCUCUGUCGAAUACGUUUGGCACAGCGGCACCGAGCAGUAAACCAUGCUGAAACAAUAAACGAAAUGACUGUCUUGGGAAGAAAGGCAACAAGCAGCGCUGGCGUGGCUGGCAAAGCAGAGUCACGUGAUGUCGUUUACUACGUCACAGCUAUAGCGGCGCCAGUCUCUCCUGUGGUGGCCCUCGAGGCCAAUACAUGCGAGGAGGGCAGGAGGGGGAAAAGGGUUAUAAGAAGGCAAGGAAACUCUACUAUACAUGAUAGCGGUUGCAGACAAAGUGGGUAAAUUUAAGUUUAACGUAUAGUGCAGUACGUUUCUGCUCUUUCUAAAAAAUAAACACCUGGCCUGGGGAGGCAGUUGAUCUAUGUAAGCAAAGUCGUGAGCUUCAACAUGAACACACCUUUGUCUUCAUAUCUUCAUAGCCUUUUUGCCAGUUUCGUUACUUCGUUACCAUGCUAUUGUUUUCACUCUGUUAUUGCGUCAUUUUCAAUUCAUAAUUGCCAUUCCUUCUUGAAAUGCUAGUGUAGCAUAUACAAGACACGGACAGUAGAAGGGCACUUGAAAAAGAUGCGUCAGAGGCUUCGAAGAUCCAGUUGCUGGAAGUUAAUGCAUUGUGUUUUCAGAAGUUAGCGCCAUGUCUCUGCAUUAAAGUGCCCUUCUACUUCCCUCAUAUCAUAAGAAGCCAACAAACACUGACACCAAGGACAACAUAGGGGAAAUUACUUGUUUUUAGUAAAUGAAAUCAAGAAACACUAAAUUAUUGGAAAUGAAAGUGGAUGAAAAAACAACUUGCCAUAGGUGGGGAAUGUUCUACUGCUCUAAGAGAGCAUCGCACAGGUAAUGUGAAUAUGUGGGAUCGUUCUCCACCUGCGGCAAGUUGUCUUUUCAUCCACUUUCAUUUACAUUAAUUUAUCAUUUCUUUAUUUCAUUAAGAGAGCUUCGCACAUGUAAUGCGAGGACAUGGGAUCAUUCCCCACCUGCUGCAAGUUAUUUCAUUUAUUAAAAACAAGUAAUUUCCUCUAUGUUGUCCUUGGUGUCAGUGUUUGUUGGCUUCUCUUGAUAUGAUUAAUAAAAAUUGGGCCCCUCCGUUAACACCAUUUCUUCUCGUCUUCCACUUCCCUCAUCUUGAAUGUGCUACACCAGAUUCUAAGAUGGCAUACCAACAGGCUGCAUUGCAACGCUAGUUGACGUCAUUCCUUCAUUGUCAUGCUGUUAUCACUGUUACUCUAGCAUUAUUAAUCCAUCGUCAUUAUGCCGUUGUAAUCAGACAAUCAUCAUAAUCCCAUCAUUAUGCAGUCAACAUCAUUCCGUCGCCAAUUCAGCAGUAUCAUUGCAUCAUUGUCAUGGUCAUUCCAGAGUUGUUAACCCACUGUUGUCACACGGUCAUCAUCAUUCCACUGUCAUUGCUUUGUAGAAUGCAUGGAAUCCACAUGUGGGAGUACCACAAGUUUACAUUGAGUGAGCCAUUUCACUGUGAAAGUGUGCCCAACUUGGUCAUGUGAUUUGUAGUUGCAAAUUGUCAUUGUAGAGGCUGACUGUUCCUCACAAACAGCAAUGAAAAUUUCCAUACAUUUAUGUUUGUUUUCCUGUACUGCAGUUUGUACGCUUGUUAUACUGCUGCUCAUUUCUUUUCAACUGACUGGUUUAUCAGAAUGCCCUUCUUUUGUACGAAAGGCAUUAAAAUAAAUGCAGAUCCAACACACA